AAGUGCAAGAAGCUUGGCGAAUAAGUGGUGGGUAAGACGGGUGCCAGCCGCCGCGGUAACACCUGCGCCACGAGUGGGACUCGCGUUUAUUGGGCCUAAAGCGUUCGUAGCCGGAUGAGGCAGUCUUGGGUGAAAUCGUUGCGCUUAACAAAACGGCGUGCCUGAGAUACUUCUCAUCUAGGGACCGGGAGGAGUUAGGAGUAUUUCUGAGGGAGCGGUAAAAUGCUAUAAUCUCAGAAGGACUACCUGUGGCGAAGGCGCCUAACUAGAACGGGUUCGACGGUGAGGAACGAAAGCUAGGGGAGCAAAAGGGAUUAGAUACCCCAGUAGUCCUAGCUGUAAACUCUGUGAACUAGAUGUUGCGUAUUCUUCGUGAAUACGCAUUGUCGUAGCGAAGACGUUAAGUUCACCGCCUGGGAAGUACGGUCGCAAGGCUGAAACUUAAAGGAAUUGGCGGGAGAGCACUACAAGGGGUGCGGCGUGCGGUUUAAUCUAACUCUACGCAGAGAAUCUCACCAGCAGCGACGGCAGGAUGAAGGUCAGGCUGAAUGUCUUACCUAACGAGCCGAGAGGUAUUGCAUGGCCGUCGUCAGCUCGUGCCGUAAGGUGUCCUCUUAAGUGAGGUAACGAGCAAGACCCAUAUCCAUAAUUGCUAGCAGGUACUUUAGUAUGACUGAGCACAUUAUGGGGACUGCUGUGGAAACACAGAGGAAGGUGCGGACUACGAUAGGUCAGUAUGGUCCGAAUCCGCUGGGCUACACGCGCGCAACAAUGGCAAAGACAAUGGGAUGCAACACCGAAAGGUGAAGCUAAACCUCUAAACUUUGUCUUAGUUUAAAUUGAGGGU
rnacentral:rRNA from 1 species